GACGAACGCUGGCGGCGUGCUUAACACAUGCAAGUCGAACGGAAAGGCCCUGCUUUUGUGGGGUGCUCGAGUGGCGAACGGGUGAGUAACACGUGAGUAACCUGCCCUUGACUUUGGGAUAACUUCAGGAAACUGGGGCUAAUACCGGAUAGGAGCUCCUGCUGCAUGGUGGGGGUUGGAAAGUUUCGGCGGUUGGGGAUGGACUCGCGGCUUAUCAGCUUGUUGGUGGGGUAGUGGCUUACCAAGGCUUUGACGGGUAGCCGGCCUGAGAGGGUGACCGGCCACAUUGGGACUGAGAUACGGCCCAGACUCCUACGGGAGGCAGCAGGGGGGAAUAUGGCACAAUGGGCGGAAGCCUGAGGCAGCAACGCCGCGUGCGGGAUGACGGCCUUCGGGUUGUAAACCGAUUUCGCCUGUGACGAAGCGUGAGGGACGGUAAUGGGUAAAGAAGCACCGGCUAACUACGU
rnacentral:rRNA from 1 species